UCACAAUCCCCAGCAGUCCAUAAAUAGAGGCUCUCCAUCUCCUCCCUAUCUUGGAGUCACUUCUCAACAGCGACAUUCAGUUCCCAGCCAAACUUCAGCCAUGAAGAUUCUCUACCUUCUCUUUGCUCUCUUCUUCCUGGUGCUGCAAAGCUCUGCAGGAUUCACCCAGUAUAUCUAUGGCCCCGCUGCUUGUAGACGUGCUCGGGGCACCUGCUUCCGUUUUUGUGUCGGCAAAUACAGACUGAUUGGAACCUGCGGUCAAGGGCAGAAUUGCUGUAAAAGAAGGUAAAGAGAGUGAGUGAUGGCAGCAGAGAUUGUCAAUGCAGGAUCUCUCGGAAUCUGGCAGACGACGCCUUGCUUCUAAAAUCCUUGGAUGCUUUUCAUCUGGGCUGCAAAGUUUCUUGCAAGCUGGAAUAAACCCACAAGGGAGCCCUUGUCGCCCCCCCCCCCCCCCCCCCGCCAAUAGCUUGUUCUUCUCCUUUUAAUAAAAGUAGCUGCUGGUUGUGGUGUAUUGCAAA